rnacentral:rRNA from 1 species
UACGGAGGGUGCAAGCGUUGUCCGGAUUUAUUGGGUUUAAAGGGUGCGUAGGCGGUCUAAUAAGUCAGUGGUGAAAGCCAACAGCUCAACUGUUGAACUGCCAUUGAUACUGCUAGACUUGAGUACAGACGAGGUAGGCGGAAUUGAUGGUGUAGCGGUGAAAUGCAUAGAUACCAUCAAGAACACCGAUUGCGAAGGCAGCUUACUAGGCUGAAACUGACGCUGAUGCACGAAAGUGUGGGGAGCAAACAGG